UGAUAUGAGGUUUAAUGGGUCCUGUGA
rnacentral:sRNA from 1 species